ACUACGGGUGGCAGCAGUGGGGAAUAUUGGGCAAUGGGCGCAAGCCUGACCCAGCAACGCCGCGUGAAGGAAGAAGGCUUUCGGGUUGUAAACUUCUUUUCUCAGGGACGAAGAAAGUGACGGUACCUGAGGAAUAAGCCACGGCUAACUACGUGCCAGCAGCCGCGGUAAUACGUAGGUGGCAAGCGUUAUCCGGAUUUACUGGGUGUAAAGGGCGUGUAGGCGGGGAAGCAAGUCAGAUGUGAAAACCACGGGCUCAACCUGUGGCCUGCAUUUGAAACUGUUUUUCUUGAGUACUGGAGAGGCAGACGGAAUUCCUAGUGUAGCGGUGAAAUGCGUAGAUAUUAGGAGGAACACCAGUGGCGAAGGCGGUCUGCUGGACAGCAACUGACGCUGAGGCGCGAAAGCGUGGGGAGCAAACAGGAUGAGAUACCCCAGUAGUC
rnacentral:rRNA from 1 species